AUUGAACGCUGGCGGCAUGCUUUACACAUGCAAGUCGAACGGUAACAGGUCUUCGGAUGCUGACGAGUGGCGAACGGGUGAGUAAUGCAUCGGAACGUGCCCAGUCGUGGGGGAUAACGCAGCGAAAGCUGUGCUAAUACCGCAUACGAUCUAUGGAUGAAAGCGGGGGACCUUAGGGCCUCGCGCGAUUGGAGCGGCCGAUGUCAGAUUAGCUAGUUGGUGGGGUAAAGGCCCACCAAGGCGACGAUCUGUAGCUGGUCUGAGAGGACGACCAGCCACACUGGGACUGAGACACGGCCCAGACUCCUACGGGAGGCAGCAGUGGGGAAUUUUGGACAAUGGGCGCAAGCCUGAUCCAGCAAUGCCGCGUGCAGGAAGAAGGCCUCGG
rnacentral:rRNA from 1 species